CUCGUCAGUUACGAAGCUGGACUGAAACUGCCCUGUCAUUCAAUGCUGGAAGCUUCUGCGCGCGCGCGCGCCCAUGCGCGGUGCGCCAUGCGGCGUGCGGCCUCUUGGCUCACUGCCAUGCGGCGGUGCGGCGGUGCAGCUCAAGUCCGUCCAUGCGGCGUGCGGCGGUGCAGCUCAAGUCCGUCCAUGCGGCGGUGCGGCGUGCGCCACGUCACCUGUGAGUCUAUACGUGCGCGCCACACAGUCGCGUCGUAUUGGCUCACUCUGGUGCGCCGCACACGGCACAGUAGGACCCAUGCACCAUGCUCCCAACCGCGCGCCUCGUGUACCCGCGCGCGCAUGCGCAUGACUGUCACGUCAUGCGCCGCAUCACCUACCACUUGGUCCUUGCAACCCUUGUGCUUCACCACGCGCGCGCGGUCAAAAAUACAAAGGCGGCUCUCAAGCGGCUCGCGGCGAUGCGAGCGUGCGAAGUGCAAAGUGCGCCAUCAAAGCGCCACAUUGCGCCUCAUCGCCCACGCCACGCGCGCGCGCGCGCGCGAGCGUGUGCGAGUGCGAGUUAGGGUGCUCCGCACCCUUCGCGAGGACACUAG
rnacentral:lncRNA from 1 species